rnacentral:rRNA from 1 species
UACGUAGGGGGCUAGCGUUGUCCGGAAUCAUUGGGCGUAAAGCGCGUGUAGGCGGUCCGGUAAGUCCGCUGUGAAAGUCGGGGGCUCAACCCUCGGAUGCCGGUGGAUACUGUCGGGCUUGAGUACGGAAGAGGCGAGUGGAAUUCCUGGUGUAGCGGUGAAAUGCGCAGAUAGUCAGGAGGAACACCAAUUGCGAAGGCAGCUCGCUGGGACGUUACUGACGCUGAGACGCGAAAGCGUGGGGAGCAAACAGG